UACGUAGGGUGCGAGCGUUGUCCGGAAUUAUUGGGCGUAAAGAGCUUGUAGGCGGUUUGUCGCGUCUGCUGUGAAAAUCCGAGGCUCAACCUCGGACUUGCAGUGGGUACGGGCAGACUAGAGUGUGGUAGGGGGAGACUGGAAUUCCUGGUGUAGCGGUGGAAUGCGCAGAUAUCAGGAGGAACACCAGUGGCGAAGGCGAGUCUCUGGGACAUUUCCUGACGGCUGAGGCACGAAAGCCAGGGGAGCAAACAGG
rnacentral:rRNA from 1 species